GUGUCAGCAGCCGCGGUAAGACAGAGGGUGCAAACGUUGCUCGGAAUUACUGGGCGUAAAGCGCGUGUAGGCGGUGCCGCACGUCCGAUGUGAAAGCCCGGGGCUCAACCCCGGACGUGCAUUGGAUACGACGGCGCUGGAGUCCUGAAGAGGAGGGCGGAAUUCCCGGUGUAGAGGUGAAAUUCGUAGAUAUCGGGAGGAACACCAGUGGCGAAGGCGGCUCUCUGGACAGGUACUGACGCUGAGACGCGAAAGCGUGGGUAGCAAACAGGAUUAGAUACCCUGGUAGUCC
rnacentral:rRNA from 1 species